rnacentral:misc_RNA from 1 species
CCGAAAUUUAAAACUCACAAACGCGAGUCUCGUGCGGAAGCAAAUAUGACUGCCGAGACUUUGUGACUCUUCAAGUUUUCCUUUGCUCAAGUCAAACCACACUCGUGAAGCACAUGUGACGAGUCUGUGGUGAGCAUCGGGAGCACUGCGUUUCCUUCGGGAUUCACAGUCUAAAAAACGAAUUGUAAAAGUAUAUAUAUAUAAACAAAAAAAGACGAAAAAAAU